UACGGGGGGGGCAAGCGUUGUUCGGAAUUACUGGGCGUAAAGGGCUCGUAGGCGGCCAACUAAGUCAGACGUGAAAUCCCUCGGCUUAACCGGGGAACUGCAUCUGAUACUGGAUGGCUCGAGUUUGGGAGAGGGAUGCGGAAUUCCAGGUGUAGCGGUGAAAUGCGUAGAUAUCUGGAGGAACACCGGUGGCGAAGGCGGCUCUCUGGGACGGUACUGACGCUGAGACGCGAAAGCGUGGGGAGCGAACAGG
rnacentral:rRNA from 1 species